rnacentral:rRNA from 1 species
AUUGAACGCUGGCGGUAUGCUUAACACAUGCAAGUCGAACGGUAACAGGCCUGCGGGCGCUGACGAGUGGCGGACGGGUGAGUAACGCGUAGGAAUCUGCCUCAUAGUGGGGGACAACGUGUGGAAACGCACGCUAAUACCGCAUACGCCCUACGGGGGAAAGCGGGGGACCUUCGGGCCUCGCGCUAUGAGAUGAGCCUGCGUUAGAUUAGCUAGUUGGUAGGGUAAAGGCCUACCAAGGCGACGAUCUAUAGCUGGUCUGAGAGGACGAUCAGCCACACUGGGACUGAGACACGGCCCAGACACCUACGGGAGGCAGCAGUGGGGAAUAUUGGACAAUGGGCGCAAGCCUGAUCCAGCAAUACCGCGUGUGUGAAGAAGGCCCUAGGGUUGUAAAGCACUUUCAAUAGGGAGGAAAACCUGUCGGUCAAUACCCGGCAGCUUGACGUUACCUAUACAAGAAGCACCGGCUAACUCCGUGCCAGCAGCCGCAGUAAAAC